rnacentral:pre_miRNA from 1 species
GAAAUACUCCCUCCGUCCCAAAAUAAGUGUCUCAAUUUUGUACUUACUUUAGUACAAAGUUGUACUGAGGUUGAGACACUUAUUUUGGGACGGAGGGAGUAGUAU